UACGUAGGGGGCAAGCGUUGUCCGGAAUCAUUGGGCGUAAAGAGCGUGUAGGCGGCCCGAUAAGUCCGCCGUGAAAGUCCAGGGCUCAACCCUGGAAUGCCGGUGGAAACUGUCGGGCUAGAGUCCGGAAGAGGCGAGUGGAAUUCCUGGUGUAGCGGUGAAAUGCGCAGAUAUCAGGAGGAACACCGAUGGCGAAGGCAGCUCGCUGGGACGGUACUGACGCUGAGACGCGAAAGCGUGGGGAGCAAACAGG
rnacentral:rRNA from 1 species